GACAGAGGGUGCAAACGUUGUUCGGAAUUACUGGGCGUAAAGCGCGUGUAGGCGGCUCUGCAAGUCGGAUGUGAAAGCCCUGGGCUCAACCUAGGAAGUGCACUCGAAACUGCGGAGCUUGAGUCUCGGAGAGGAUCGCGGAAUUCUCGGUGUAGAGGUGAAAUUCGUAGAUAUCGAGAGGAACACCGGUGGCGAAGGCGGCGAUCUGGACGAUGACUGACGCUGAGACGCGAAAGCGUGGGGAGCAAACAGG
rnacentral:rRNA from 1 species